rnacentral:rRNA from 1 species
GAUGAACGCUGGCGGCGUGCCUAAUACAUGCAAGUCGAGCGAACGGACGAGAAGCUUGCUUUUCUGAUGUUAGCGGCGGACGGGUGAGUAACACGUGGAUAACCUACCUAUAAGACUGGGAUAACUUCGGGAAACCGGAGCUAAUACCGGAUAAUAUUUUGAACCGCAUUGUUCACAAGUUAAAGACGGUCUUGCUGUCACUUAUAGAUGAAUCCGCGCUGCAUUAGCUAGUUGGUAAGGUAACGGCUUACCAAGGCAACGAUGCAUAGCCGACCUGAGAGGGUGAUCGGCCACACUGGAACUGAGACACGGUCCAGACUCCUACGGGAGGCAGCAGUAGGGAAUCUUCCGCAAUGGGCGAAAGCCUGACGGAGCAACGCCGCGUGAGUGAUGAAGGUCUUCGGAUCGUAAAACUCUGUUAUUAGGGAAGAACAUAUGUGUAAGUAACUGUGCACAUCCUGACGGUACCUAAUCAGAAAGCCACGGCUAACUACGUG